CUCCUACUCCCUCUGUUCGGAAUUACUUGUCUCGCAAAUGGAUGUAUUUAGACGUAUUUUAGUUCUAGAUACAUCCAUUUCUGAGACAAGUAAUUCCGAACGGAGGGAGUAAUAU
rnacentral:pre_miRNA from 1 species